GAUUAGUGGCGAACGGGUGAGUAACACGUGGGCAAUCUGCCCUUCACUCUGGGACAAGCCCUGGAAACGGGGUCUAAUACCGGAUAACACUCCUGCCCGCAUGGGUGGGGGUUAAAAGCUCCGGCGGUGAAGGAUGAGCCCGCGGCCUAUCAGCUUGUUGGUGAGGUAGUGGCUCACCAAGGCGACGACGGGUAGCCGGCCUGAGAGGGCGACCGGCCACACUGGGACUGAGACACGGCCCAGACUCCUACGGGAGGCAGCAGUGGGGAAUAUUGCACAAUGGGCGAAAGCCUGAUGCAGCGACGCCGCGUGAGGGAUGACGGCCUUCGGGUUGUAAACCUCUUUCAGCAGGGAAGAAGCGAAAGUGACGGUACCUGCAGAAGAAGCGCCGGCUAACUACGUGCCAGCAGCCGCGGUAAUACGUAGGGCGCAAGCGUUGUCCGGAAUUAUUGGGCGUAAAGAGCUCGUAGGCGGCUUGUCACGUCGGGUGUGAAAGCCCGGGGCUUAACCCCGGGUCUGCAUUCGAUACGGGCUAGCUAGAGUGUGGUAGGGGAGAUCGGAAUUCCUGGUGUAGCGGUGAAAUGCGCAGAUAUCAGGAGGAACACCGGUGGCGAAGGCGGAUCUCUGGGCCAUUACUGACGCUGAGGAGCGAAAGCGUGGGGAGCGAACAGGAUUAGAUACCCUGGUAGUCCACGCCGUAAACGGUGGGAACUAGGUGUUGGCGACAUUCCACGUCGUCGGUGCCGCAGCUAACGCAUUAAGUUCCCCGCCUGGGGAGUACGGCCGCAAGGCUAAAACUCAUAGGAAUUGACGGGGGCC
rnacentral:rRNA from 1 species